rnacentral:pre_miRNA from 1 species
GAUAUACUCCCUCCGUCCGGAAAUACUUGUCAUCAAAAUGAAUAAAAGGGGAUGUAUCUAGACAUAUUUUAAUUCUAGAUACAUCCCUUUUUAUCCAUUUUGGUGACAAGUAUUUUCGGACGGAGGGAGUAGAUC